AGACAACUUGCAUUUCAAGGUGAGUUAGCUUCUGAUCUUAAUAUAACUUAUUUUCCUUCAGGAAAAAAAAUGCUAAAAUCAAGACAGGGUACAAGCGGGAGCACAUUAACCUGGGCUGCGACAUGGAUUUCGACAUUGCUGGGCCUUCCAUCCGGGGUGCUCUGGUGCUAGGUUACGAGGGCUGGCUGGCCGGCUACCAGAUGAAUUUUGAGACUGCAAAAUCCCGAGUGACCCAGAGCAACUUUGCAGUUGGCUACAAGACUGAUGAAUUCCAGCUUCACACUAAUGUGAAUGACGGGACAGAGUUUGGCGGCUCCAUUUACCAGAAAGUGAACAAGAAGUUGGAGACCGCUGUCAAUCUUGCCUGGACAGCAGGAAACAGUAACACGCGCUUCGGAAUAGCAGCCAAGUAUCAGAUUGACCCUGACGCCUGCUUCUCGGCUAAAGUGAACAACUCCAGCCUGAUAGGUUUAGGAUACACUCAGACUCUAAAGCCAGGUAUUAAACUGACACUGUCAGCUCUUCUGGAUGGCAAGAACGUCAAUGCUGGUGGCCACAAGCUUGGUCUAGGACUGGAAUUUCAAGCAUAAAUGAAUACUGUACAAUUGUUUAAUUUUAAACUAUUUUGCAGCAUA
rnacentral:sRNA from 1 species